rnacentral:rRNA from 1 species
CACGUAGGGCGCAAGCGUUGUCCGGAAUUAUUGGGCGUAAAGAGCUCGUAGGCGGUCUGUUGCGUCCGCUGUGAAAACUCGGGGCUUAACCCCGAGCCUGCAGUGGAUACGGGCAGACUAGAGGUAGGUAGGGGAGAAUGGAAUUCCCGGUGUAGCGGUGAAAUGCGCAGAUAUCGGGAGGAACACCGGUGGCGAAGGCGGUUCUCUGGGCAUUACCUGACGCUGAGGAGCGAAAGCGUGGGGAGCGAACAGG